GGGUCAGUAGGUUGGCCGCUCCACCGGUACGUACUGGUCUCACUGAUUCCUCCUUCCUGAAGAACCGUAAUGCCACUAAUUUGGUGUUGCGGGGAAACAGGACUGUUACUUUGAAAAAAUUAGAGUGUUUAAAGCAAGCUAACGCUUGAAUACAUUAGCAUGGAAUAAUGAAAUAGGACGAUCGAUCCUAUUUUGUUGGUUUCUAGGAUUGACGUA
rnacentral:rRNA from 1 species